rnacentral:rRNA from 1 species
AUUGAACGCUGGCGGCAUGCUUUACACAUGCAAGUCGGACGAGUGGCGAACGGGUGAGUAAUAUAUCGGAACGUACCGAGUAAUGGGGGAUAACUAAUCGAAAGAUUAGCUAAUACCGCAUAUUAUUCGAGCGGCCGAUAUCUGAUUAGCUAGUUGGUGGGGUAAAGGCCUACCAAGGCGACGAUCAGUAGCGGGGCUGCGAGGAUGAUUCGCCACCCUGGGACCUAGAAACGGCCCAGACUCCUACGGGAGGGAGCCGUUGGGAAUUUUUGGCAAUGGGCGCAAGCCUGAACCAGCCCUUGCGCGUGUCCGAAAGAGGCCUUCGGGUUUUAAAAGGAUUUUUUUAAGGAAACGGUACCUGAAGAAUAAGCACCGGCUAACUACGUGCCAGCAGCCGCGGUAAUAC